UCUGCUCAAUGUUAUUAUAUAAAUAGCUGCAUCAUAUGUACUAAGGUAGCGUAAUAAUUUGCCUUUUAAUUGAAGGAUUGUAUGAAAGAAAAUACAAAAAAAUUUACUGUCUCUAUAUUAUAAGUAAAAAUUAAUCUAUAAGUGAAAAAGCUUAUAUUCAAUAAAUAGACAAGAAGACCCUGUUGAGCUUUUUCUAAAAAUUAAUAUUUAGAUUUUGUUGGGGCAACAUUAAUUAUAUUUAAUCAAUUUCAUUAUUACAAGAAUAAAUUCUUCUUAUUUAUCUUAUUAUAUAAAAUAUUAAUAAGUUACCCCAGGGAUAACAGGUUAAUUUUUUUUUAGAGUUCAAAUUAACAAAAAAGUUUGGCACCUCAAUGUUGGCUUAAGAUUUCAUUUAAAAGUAACAAUUUAAAUUGUUGGUUU
rnacentral:rRNA from 1 species